rnacentral:rRNA from 1 species
UGAACGAGUUCGCCCUUCGGCCACCGCGCGCGGCGGGCGGGGCGGGGGCACGAGGGGCCUACGGGAGGCAGCAGUGAUGAAUCUUGCGCAAUGGGGGAAACCCUGAUGCAGCGACGCCGCGUGAGACGAUAGAANGNCCUUCGGGGUGUAAANNCUCUUUUGAUCGGGGAAAAUGCAUGAUGAUUUUCCUGCUGAAUA